GACGAACGCUGGCGGCGUGCCUAAUACAUGCAAGUAGAACGCUGAAGAGAGGAGCUUGCUCUUCUUGGAUGAGUUGCGAACGGGUGAGUAACGCGUAGGUAACCUGCCUUGUAGCGGGGGAUAACUAUUGGAAACGAUAGCUAAUACCGCAUAACAAUGGAUGACCCAUGUCAUUUAUUUGAAAGGGGCAAAUGCUCCACUACAAGAUGGACCUGCGUUGUAUUAGCUAGUAGGUGAGGUAACGGCUCACCUAGGCGACGAUACAUAGCCGACCUGAGAGGGUGAGCGGCCACACUGGGACUGAGACACGGCCCAGACUCCUACGGGAGGCAGCAGUAGGGAAUCUUCGGCAAUGGGGGCAACCCUGACCGAGCAACGCCGCGUGAGUGAAGAAGGUUUUCGGAUCGUAAAGCUCUGUUGUAAGUCAAGAACGAGUGUGAGAGUGGAAAGUUCACACUGUGACGGUAGCUUACCAGAAAGGGACGGCUAACUACGUG
rnacentral:rRNA from 1 species